rnacentral:tRNA from 1 species
AAUAAGGUGCCUGAGUAAAGGACUAUUUUGAUAGAAUAGAUUACGUAAUAAUUUACCCUUAUUA